UCAGGCCUAACACAUGCAAGUCGAACGGUAGAGGGGCAACCCUUGAGAGUGGCGAACGGGUGAGUAAUACAUCGGAACGUGCCCAGUCGUGGGGGAUAACGUAGCGAAAGCUACGCUAAUACCGCAUACGACCUGAGGGUGAAAGCGGGGGACUCGCAAGGGCCUCGCGCGAUUGGAGCGGCCGAUGGCAGAUUAGGUAGUUGGUGAGGUAAAGGCUCACCAAGCCGACGAUCUGUAGCUGGUCUGAGAGGACGACCAGCCACACUGGGACUGAGACACGGCCCAGACUCCUACGGGAGGCAGCAGUGGGGAAUUUUGGACAAUGGGCGCAAGCCUGAUCCAAAAGGACCGCGUGCAGGAAGAAGGCCUUCGGGUUGUACUUAAAGGGGUCAGGGAAGAAAUCUUCUGGGCUAAUACCCUGGGAGG
rnacentral:rRNA from 1 species